UUUUUUUUUUGAGAUGGAGUCUUGCUCUGUCGCCUAGGCUGGAGUGGAGCGGCGCGAUCUCAACUCACUGCAAGCUCCGCCUCCCGGGUUCACGCCAUUCUCCUGCCUCAGCCUCCCGAGUAGCUGGGACUACAGGAGCCCGCCACAACGCCCGGCUAAUUUUUUGUAUUUUUAGGAGAAACAGGGUUUCACCGUGUUAGCCAGGAUGGUCUUGAUCUCCUGACCUCGUGAUCUGCCCGCCUCGGCUUCUCAAAGUGCUGGGAUUAUAGGCGUGAGCCACCGAGCCCGGCCAGAACUACUACAAUUUUUUUAGGGUAAUUUGGUCCUCUCUCUCAAAAGUGCACUUACCCUCUAUCCAGGAAUUUCAUUUGUAGGAACCUAUGUUAUGUACAAUUUCACUGAAGUAUUGCUUGUAUUAGAAAAAAAAGUAUGGAUGAUAGGCAGGUUGAAUAAAUGUUAAUGUUUUCAUGUAGCUAUGUAUAGGAAUGCCGCUAUGGAAAGACAUCCAGGACACCUUGUUAAAUGAAAAAAGGUUCAGUAUCUGAACACUUUUGCUAAAGGUCUCUGGAAAGCUCCCUGUGUUAAUUCUCGAUGAGACUAUGUCUGUGCCGGCUGCUUCCUGAGCCUCCUUCCAUGUGCAUAGGCCUGCUGCAUGCUGGAGACCCGCGGCACAGCUGCCAAGUGCCCCUGUGUGGUUCUGUGAUCUUGGGACAGUCACUUCCUCUCUGUGGUUGUCAGUCUUCUCAUCCCUAAGGAACUUGGAAUAACUUGCAGUGUCUUGCAGUAUUGUGAAACCAGCAACUUGUUCACAGUUCUUUUGAAUUUCCUGGGAAAUUUGAAGUGGAGUACCUGUACCAACAUGAAAUGACACGAAUUUAAGUGAAGCUCAACAAUGAAAAGCAAAAAGAACCAAAGAGGAAGCAACUGAAACAACAUCUGGAUGUAUUUAAAAAUAUACAAGGCCUCCAAAAUCAGGUGUCAUUAAUGAAAAUUCUGAAGAAAUGCCACCGGACAUAGCCAACGCACCUAUGCUGUUGUUAUUCAUUUCCUGCUUUUCACAGAAAACAAUUUUGUUGCAUGGAAGAUUGUGAACUUCAAAGGGCAGAGGGGAAACUCUCCCUUGGCCUCUACCCCUCCAAGGCCCCGCUUUUUCGUCAACACUCCUUGGACACAGCAGCAGUAUGAACAUAAUAUGGUCCUGAAUGCGGCUGAGUCUUUGGGUGCAGAAGACCUGGGUUAAUAAAAAUAGGAAGGUAAGAGAAGAAAAGAAAAAUCAAGACACAUCAUAGGACUAAAUUCCUAUUAUUUAUCCACUCAGGAUUGACCACCCCUUUGGGCCAGAUAGUUGUACCCCCAUGUACCAGGUGGGCACAUGAAGACACAAGAAGUGCUGUGAUGGCUCAUUUUGCAUGUCACCUUGCGUGGAGUAUGCCAACUCAUUGUUUGGUCAAACACUAGUCUGGACAUGGUGGUAAAGGUAUUUUUUAGAUGAGAUUAACGCUUAAAUCAGUAAAGCAGGUUACCCACCAUACUAUGGGUGGGCCCUGUCCAAUCAGUUGAAGGCAUUAAGAACAAAGAUUGAGGUUUCCUAAAGAAGGUGGAAUUCUCCUUGAGACUACAACAUAGAAACCCUAUCUGAGUUUCCAGCCUGCUGCCCUGUGGAAUUCGAACUCAGGACUCCAGUCUAUGACAUUAACCCUCACUUAACUUUUCAGCCUGCCAGCCUGCCCUAUGGAUUUCGGACUUGCCAGCCACACAAUUCCUUAAAAUAAAUUUCUCUGUCUCUGUCUGUU